CCUACGGGUGGCAGCAGUGAGGAAUACUGGCCAAUGGCCGAGAGGCUGACCCCUCCCCUUCUCUUUCUUUCCUCCUUCCCUCCUUUUUUUCCCCCUCUUUUUUCUUGGAGUAAAGCGAGUCACGUGUGACUCUUUGAGAGUACCCGAAGAAAAAGCAUCGGCUAACUCCGUGCCAGCAGCCGCGGUAAUACGGAGGAUGCGAGCGUUAUCCGGAUUUAUUGGGUUUAAAGGGUGCGCAGGCGGAGGUGCAAGUCAGCGGUCAAAUUGCGGGGCUCAACCCCGUACUGCCGUUGAAACUGCAUCCCUUGAGUGCGCGAGAAGUAUGCGGAAUGCGUGGUGUAGCGGUGAAAUGCAUAGAUAUCACGCAGAACUCCGAUUGCGAAGGCAGCAUACCGGCGCGCAACUGACGCUCAUGCACGAAAGCGUGGGUAUCGAACAGGAUUAGAUACCCGAGUAGUC
rnacentral:rRNA from 1 species